CCUGCUCUGGCCCACUGACCAAUGUUGCUGGCCCUCAGGCACCUCAGCUCUGACAUCAGACCUCCUCUGACAAAAAGGACAGCUGGUUAAAGCAGAUGCUUCUUCGUGCUUGGUGUCUGCUGAAAGUAACUUCUGCAUUCUUUCACAUUUACAGUGUGUUGCAGACAGAUUCUUGGGAUUUUACAUUGCUGUGUUGCAUCUGAUGAAAGCUACCUUGCAAAUGGACUUACUGAGCAGGUUCCAGGCCAGCUCCACGACUGUGCUGUCCCCAGGGAAGGAAGAGUCCUCCCACUGCACUGGCUGCUGGUGACCUGGCAGGGGACAUGGAGCUGCUGGCUGGCACAGCACCUGAGGAAGCAGGGAAGGAUGCAACAGCAUCACAAGCUGAGGUGGAAGGAGCAGAAAAAGCAGCUGCAAUGCCAGAGGCAGAAAGCCUAGUGGGAGCAGGUCUGGGCAGGAAGGGGGUCACCCCUGAAGGAGCAACGAUUGUGGUGGGAGCAUCGGAAAACCCAGCAGCAGAAAGGGCUGCUGAAGCAUUUUCCAGGGCAGCAGAAAGAAUUGCAGUAUCAGAAGUAGCCAAGGUGUUGCAGUCAGCAGUAGCUGAGCUCAAAGGGAAGAGGAAGAACAUGUGGAUAAAGCCAAGGAAUACCACUCAGCAGGAAGAGGAUUGGAUGAAAGAGGGAGAGGUGAAAUGAAAUGGAGAGCAUGGAAUGGGAAAGGUGACUCCAGCCAGAUUGAUAAUGGUGCGAUGCCAGGAAGUCCAGAAGAAAUUCAAGAAAUGGGAAAAAAUAACUUCAAAACAGUGGUGGACUUGUCAGCAUGAAUGACAUUCCCCAGGCAGUACAGAUGGAUCAUUAAAACAGAUUUCUAAUUUUUGAAAGGAAAAAAUAUUGUUUGUUGUAAGAUUGUUUUCUCAGCCUGUGAGGUACAGGUAAGACAGGUUUGUAGCAACAGCUGGAUGAUGGAGCAGUCACCAUAACAGAUAAAUGGUGAUAAAGUGUUACAGAG
rnacentral:lncRNA from 1 species